CCUUUGACGUUAGCGGCGGACGGGUGAGUAACACGUGGGUAACCUACCUAUAAGACUGGGAUAACUUCGGGAAACCGGAGCUAAUACCGGAUAAUAUUUCGAGCCGCAUGGUUCGAUAGUGAAAGGUGGUUUUGCUAUCACUUAUAGAUGGACCCGCGCCGUAUUAGCUAGUUGGUAAGGUAACGGCUUACCAAGGCGACGAUACGUAGCCGACCUGAGAGGGUGAUCGGCCACACUGGAACUGAGACACGGUCCAGACUCCUACGGGAGGCAGCAGCG
rnacentral:rRNA from 1 species